GAUGCAGGGUGUGCAGUCAUCAUUUGGAGUUCUUGAGGGGAAAGCAGGCCAGAUGUUUUUCACCCAUGACCAAGUAGCUGUGGAGAUGAAGCGGUAUUACACAGCGGGAAUGCUAAUAGCUUGGUCUCUCAUGCAUGGUGGACCAGGUAUCAAAGCACUAGAUACCACAUUAUUCAAACUAAUGUGUGACCAACCAGAUUCUGCAGAAGAAUUUGACUGGCAUAACCUGCCAGAUGUCGAAAUUCAAGAUAAAGUGCGACAGACCCAACAAGACAUACUGUAGAUGGAAGAGUAAUAAGCCUUGGGGACUGGAUUGUUGACUGUGGAGUCCCAGGCAUUUACAGUGCAACACCCAAGGAUAUGAGACACAUCUACAGGCAGCUGAUCAAACACUACAUUCACUUUCGAAAAACAAUCAACAAUAACAUUUCCGGAGAUGCUGGUAUUUAUUACUGGAGGUGAUAGCAUUCCCUCAUUGGGCUUCCCAGGACAACCGAGAAUCGAGUUCUACACACAAGAAAAUCGCCGGCUUCCAUGCGCAUCAACAUGUGGCAUGGUUCUCUUUUUGCCUAGAGGCAUCCGAGAAGAAGAGGAACUGACUGACUUGCU